GUGCUCGCUUCAGCAGCACAUGUACUAAAAUUGGAAUGAUACAGAGAAGAUUAGCAUGGCCCCUGCACAAGGAUGACACACAAAUCUGUGAAGUGUUCUAUAUUUAA